AACGAACGCUGGCGGCAGGCUUAACACAUGCAAGUCGAGCGCCCCGCAAGGGGAGCGGCAGACGGGUGAGUAACGCGUGGGAAUCUACCGUGCCCUACGGAAUAGCUCCGGGAAACUGGGAUUAAUACCUUAUACGCCCUUUUGGGGAAAGAUUUAUCGGGGUUUGAUGAGCCCGCGUUGGAUUAGCUAGUUGGUGGGGUAAAGGCCUACCAAGGCGACGAUCCAUAGCUGGUCUGAGAGGAUGAUCAGCCACAUUGGGACUGAGACACGGCCCAAACUCCUACGGGAGGCAGCAGUGGGGAAUAUUGGACAAUGGGCGCAAGCCUGAUCCAGCCAUGCCGCGUGAGUGGUGAAGGCCUUAGGGUUGUAAAGCUCUUUCACCGGAGAAGAUAAUGACGGUAUCCGGAGAAGAAGCCCCGGCUAACUUCGUGCCAGCCGCCGCAGUAACAC
rnacentral:rRNA from 1 species